rnacentral:misc_RNA from 1 species
UCUCCGUUGGAGAACCAGCGGAGGGAUCAUUAUCGAGUUUAUAACUCCCAAACCCUAUGUGAACUUACCACUUGUUGCUUCGGCGCGCGCUUCGGCGCCGCCGAGGACACUUAAACUCUUUGUUUUUAUAAGCAUUUCUGAGUGGCCGAAAGGCAAAAUACAAAUGAAUCAAAACUUUCAACAACGGAUCUCUUGGUUCUG